CGUAGCAUAGCUUAUAUAAAGCGUUUCAUUUACGUUGAAGUGAUAUUUAAUUAAUAAAUUGUUUCGA
rnacentral:tRNA from 1 species